GCCUACGGGAGGCAGCAGUGGGGAAUAUUGCACAAUGGGCGCAAGCCUGAUCCAGCGACGCCGCGUGAGUGAUGAAGGCCUUCGGGUCGUAAAGCUCUGUUGUUAGGGAAGAACAAGUACCGUUCGAAUAGGGCGGUACCUUGACGGUACCUAACCAGAAAGCCACGGCUAACUACGUGCCAGCAGCCGCGGUC
rnacentral:rRNA from 1 species